rnacentral:tRNA from 1 species
GGGCGAUUAGCUCAGCGGGAGAGCACUGCCUUCACACGGCAGGGGUCGCUGGUUCGAAUCCAGCAUCGCCCACCA